rnacentral:pre_miRNA from 1 species
GUCACCUGGGGAGCUUGUUAAAUGCAGAGUCGGAUCCAACAGGUCCGGGCCUGAGAUUUUGCAUAUCUAACAAGCUCCCAGGUGAUGCCAA